UGGGGAAUAUUGCACAAUGGGCGAAAGCCUGAUGCAGCGACGCCGCGUGAGGGAUGACGGCCUUCGGGUUGUAAACCUCUUUCAGCAGGGAAGAAGCGAAAGUGACGGUACCUGCAGAAGAAGCGCCGGCUAACUACGUGCCAGCAGCCGCGGUAAUACGUAGGGCGCAAGCGUUGUCCGGAAUUAUUGGGCGUAAAGAGCUCGUAGGCGGUUAGUCGCGUCUGCUGUGAAAACUCGAGGCUCAACCUCGGGCUUGCAGUGGGUACGGGCUGACUAGAGUGCAGUAGGGGUGACUGGAAUUCCUGGUGUAGCGGUGGAAUGCGCAGAUAUCAGGAGGAACACCGAUGGCGAAGGCAGGUCACUGGGCCGCAACUGACGCUGAGGAGCGAAAGCAUGGGGAGCGAAACAGGAUUAGAUACCCUGGUAGUCCAUGCCGUAAACGUUGGGCACUAGGUGUGGGGUCCAUUCCACGGAUUCCGUGCCGCAGCAAA
rnacentral:rRNA from 1 species